rnacentral:rRNA from 1 species
AACGAACGCUAGCGGCAGGCUUAAUACAUGCAAGUCGUGGGGCAGCAUGAAUGUAGCAAUACAUUUGAUGGCGACCGGCAAACGGGUGCGGAACACGUACACAACCUUCCUAUAAGUGGGGAAUAGCCCAGAGAAAUUUGGAUUAAUACCCCGUAACAUAACGAUGUGGCAUCACAUUGUUAUUAUAGCUUCGGCGCUUAUUGAUGGGUGUGCGGCUGAUUAGAUAGUUGGCGGGGUAACGGCCCACCAAGUCUACGAUCAGUAGCUGAUGUGAGAGCAUGAUCAGCCACACGGGCACUGAGACACGGGCCCGACUCCUACGGGAGGCAGCAGUAAGGAAUAUUGGUCAAUGGACGCAAGUCUGAACCAGCCAUGCCGCGUGAAGGAUUAAGGUCCUCUGGAUUGUAAACUUCUUUUAUCUGGGACGAAAAAAGGCGAUUCUUCGUCACUUGACGGUACCAGAUGAAUAAGCACCGGCUAACUCCGUGCCAGCCGCCGCCGUAACAC